ensembl:ncRNA C49F8.7 ncRNA
AUACAAUAUGAGAAAUGGAAAAGAAAGGAAUUGAGAUAGUAUUGAAAGGAGAAAUUGGAAUUGAAAAAGAGACGACACAAACUGGUAUAUAUCAGAGAAGUAAAGUAAUAGUGAAAUGAUGAGUGAAAGUUUUCGAAAAACAAAGCG